UGUGAUGGGGAGAAGACAUUGUGUCUUCGAGUCGUUGAUUUCACACUGCCGAGAAAAGCCUCUAGAUAGAAAAUAGGUGCCCGUACCGCAAACCGACACAGGUAGUCAAGAUGAGAAUUCUAAGGUGAGCGAGCGAACUCUCGUUAAGGAACUCGGCAAAAUGACCCCGUAACUUCGGGAGAAGGGGUGCUCUUUAGGGUUAACGCCCAGAAGAGCCGCAGUGAAUAGGCCCAAGCGACUGUUUAUCAAAAACACAGGUCUCUGCUAAACCGUAAGGUGAUGUAUAGGGGCUGACGCCUGCCCGGUGCUGGAAGGUUAAGAGGAGUGGUUAGCUUCUGCGAAGCUACGAAUCGAAGCCCCAGUAAACGGCGGCCGUAACUAUAACGGUCCUAAGGUAGCGAAAUUCCUUGUCGGGUAAGUUCCGACCCGCACGAAAGGCGUAACGAUUUGGGCACUGUCUCAACGAGAGACUCGGUGAAAUCAUAGUACCUGUGAAGAUGCAGGUUACCCGCGACAGGACGGAAAGACCCCGUGGAGCUUUACUGUAGCCUGAUAUUGAAAUUCGGCACAGCUUGUACAGGAUAGGUAGGAGCCUUUGAAACGUGAGCGCUAGCUUACGUGGAGGCGCUGGUGGGAUACUACCCUAGCUGUGUUGGCUUUCUAACCCGCACCACUUAUCGUGGUGGGAGACAGUGUCAGGCGGGCAGUUUGACUGGGGCGGUCGCCUCCUAAAAGGUAACGGAGGCGCUCAAAGGUUCCCUCAGAAUGGUUGGAAAUCAUUCAUAGAGUGUAAAGGCAUAAGGGAGCUUGACUGCGAGACCUACAAGUCGAGCAGGGUCGAAAGACGGACUUAGUGAUCCGGUGGUUCCGCAUGGAAGGGCCAUCGCUCAACGGAUAAAAGCUACCCCGGGGAUAACAGGCUUAUCUCCCCCAAGAGUUCACAUCGACGGGGAGGUUUGGCACCUCGAUGUCGGCUCAUCGCAUCCUGGGGCUGUAGUCGGUCCCAAGGGUUGGGCUGUUCGCCCAUUAAAGCGGUACGCGAGCUGGGUUCAGAACGUCGUGAGACAGUUCGGUCCCUAUCCGUCGUGGGCGUAGGAAAUUUGAGAGGAGCUGUCCUUAGUACGAGAGGACCGGGAUGGACAUACCUCUGGUGUACCAGUUGUCGUGCCAACGGCAUAGCUGGGUAGCUAUGUGUGGACGGGAUAAGUGCUGAAAGCAUCUAAGCAUGAAGCCCCCCUCAAGAUGAGAUUUCCCAACUUCGGUUAUAAGAUCCCUCAAAGAUGAUGAGGUUAAUAGGUUCGAGGUGGAAGCAUGGUGACAUGUGGAGCUGACGAAUACUAAUCGAUCGAAGACUUAAUCAAAUU
rnacentral:rRNA from 2 species